rnacentral:rRNA from 1 species
UACGGGGGGGGCAAGCGUUGUUCGGAAUUACUGGGCGUAAAGGGCUCGUAGGCGGCCAACUAAGUCAGACGUGAAAUCCCUCGGCUUAACCGGGGAACUGCAUCUGAUACUGGAUGGCUUGAGUUCGGGAGAGGGAUGCGGAAUUCCAGGUGUAGCGGUGAAAUGCGUAGAUAUCGUAAGGAAGACCAGUGGCGAAGGCGGGUCUCUGGACAGUUCCUGACGCUGAGGCACGAAGGUCAGGGGAGCAAACGGG